rnacentral:rRNA from 1 species
AAUAUCGACUAUGUCGAAUAAAUUCUAGUAGUUAUGAUAAUGACAUUUUAUGCCUAUGUGUCUUGACCAAAUUACUGCCAGCAGUCGCGGUAAUACGUAGAAGACUAGUGUUAUUCAUCUUUAAUAGGUUUAAAGGGUACCUAGACGGUAAAUCAAGCACUAUUUUUAGAGUUACAUGUGAGGGGGUUCUAAAGUACUGCUGGUGUAGAGAUGAAAUUCUGUCAUACCCACAGGUAUAGGCGAAAGCAUCUCCUUAUGUGAUAACUGACGUUGAGGGACGAAGGCUGCGAACAGGAUUAGUUACCCCAGUAGUCCAAGCAGAAAAUGAUGAAUGUCAUAGAUUAGUUUAUUCUAUAAAUGAAAAUGUAAGCAUUCCACCUCAAGAGUAAUUUGGCAACAUUGGAACUGAAAUCAUUAGACCGUUUCUGAAACCAGUAGUGAAGUAUGUUGUUUAAUUUGAUAAUCCGCAAAAAACCUUACCACAAUUUGAAUAUUAUUUACAAGCGUUGCACGGCUGUCUUCAGUUAAUGUCGCGAGACUUUGGUUAGUUCCAUUAACGUAAACCCUUACUUUAUUUUAUAUAAAGUGGUUCCCCUCGAGAGAGGAGUUCUGCCUCCCGGGGCUUCGGCCCUCAACUCUUCACCCGCUGUGUAUCUACUUAAGUUGCUUUGGCGGGCGCGAGCGCCCGCCAGAGGCAUCGUCCGAGCAAAACUUUCAACAACGGAUCUCUUGGUUCCAGCAUCGAUGAAGAACGCAGCGAAACGCGAUAGGUAAUGUGAAUUGCAGAAUUCAGUGAAUCAUCGAAUCUUUGAACGCACAUUGCGCCCCUUGGCAUUCCGAGGGGCAUGUCUGUUCGAGCGUCAUUGCAUCCCUCAAGCGUAGGUAUUGCCCCGGCGGCCCCGAAAAGCGUCGGCCGUCCGGCGUCUUUCGAGCGUAU